rnacentral:lncRNA from 1 species
AUCAUCUUUCUUCCUUCUCCAUUCUGUUGCCAUUCAUCUUCAAGAAGCAAAGGAAUCCAUUGAUGAAGAAGAUCCAAGGCCUACAAGUUCCACAUGGAGCUACAUCAUGUGGUAUCAAGAGCAUCUUCAUCUAGGUGAUGUUCUUUUGCUUCCUCUAUCUUUUUGGUCGGUCAAUUCACUUUAACUCCUUGUUCUUCAUCUUAUUCUCCAUGUAUAUCCUCCAUUUUCUUGUGGUUUGGUUCUGUUCAGAGUAGAUUCAAAAAAAUAAAUCGAUUAAAUCUUAUAUCUAUACUUGUUCUUGCAUUUCUAUGGUUCAAAUUUUACAAAUCUACUCUUGAAUCAUGUUUUUGUGUUUAUUAUAGGUUCUAUCAUUUUUUAGUCAUAAUCUUCUUGUGUUGAACCUCUAGAUCUAAAUUUUCUUCCAAAAUAUUAAUUAGAAAUUUGCAUGAAAUUAAAAAAUACGAAAAAUCACACAAGUUGGCAGGAAAAUCAAUAUCCAGGAAAAAAAAAGUGAAAGGGAAGUGUGCUUGUUGUUUUGGCACGAAAUUUGUUCUAUAAUUUGUACCUAUUUUAUACGAAUCAUAGUUCUGAAAUUUCAAUUGAAAAUUAGUGUGAAAAAAAGUGCCAAAACUAGAGGUUUCUUAAGUCUUAUUUUUUUAGUUUUUUUUUACUCUACUCUAGAGUCAUUCUUCUUGUGUUGAACCUCUAGAUCUAAAUUUUCUUCCAAAAUAUUGAUUAGAAAAAAAAUGCAAAAAUCUACGUGUAAAUCACUUAAUCCAUGUUGUCUUAGAGUCAUGUUUAGUCAUAAUAAUUGUCACAUUAUGUUCUAAGUUUGUGUUGAAUUGUGAUUUUGUUGAUUGAAUUCUAGAUACAUUUGUUCAUGUAUUCUUGUCAUUCUUAGCCUAUCUUUUGAAUUUUGAGUCUAAGUCAUGCAUGUUAUUUAGUUCAUAACAUGUUCUAAAUCAAUUCCUAGAAGCAGUCUUGUUGUUGAACUUUGUUUUGUUUUCUAAGUUUCCUAUAUGAUGCCUAUGAAGAAAUUGAGUUGUGGUGUUGAGUUGUGGCUAAAUUUGUGAACCAAAAUAAGUCUUAAGCUCUCUUGAAUUGUGUUAUUCAAGAUAUUUGAGCAUAGUCAAACACAAAUUGUGAUUAUCCAAGCCUUAAGCAACAUAAACACUACUAUUGAUUUCUAGGUUAAAAUCACUUGUGCUCGUAGCUUGAACAUACAAACUUGUAAAAAUUAUUGGGAAUUGGUCACUGCGAAUUUUGAGCUGAAAUUUUUAUUGAAUUUUGUAGACUUCUGGAAAAAAAUUAUAAAAAAGGAACCAAGCGAUUUGGAUAAAAUGAAAAAAUACGAAAAAUCACACAAGUUGGCAAGAAAAUCAGUAUCCAAGAAAAAAGUGAAAAGGAAGUGUGCUUGUUGUUUUGGCUUGAAAUUUGUUCUAUAAUUUGUGCCUAUUUUAUACCAAUCAUAGUUUCGAAAUUUCAAUUGAAAAUUAGUGUGAAAAAAGUGCCAAAACUAGAAGUUUCUUGAGUCUUAUUUUUUUAGUUUUUUUUACUCUACUCUAGAGUCAUUCUUCUUGUGUUGAACCUCUAGAUCUAAAUUUUCUUCCAAAAUAUUGAGUAGAAAAAAAAAACACAAAAAUUUAAGUUUAAAUCACUUAAUCCAUGUUGUCUUAGAGUCAUGUUAAGUUAUAAUAAUUGUCACAUUAUGUUCUAAGUUUGUGUUGAAUUUUGAUUUUGUUGAUUGAAUUCUAGAUACAUUUGUUCAUGUAUUCUUGUCAUUCUUAGCCUAUCUUUUGAAUUUUGAGUCUAAGUCAUGCAUGUUAUUUAGUUCAUAACAUGUUCUAAAUCAAUUCCUAGAAGUAGUCUUAUUGUUGAACUUUGUUUUGUUUUCCAAGUUUCCUAUAUGAUGCCUAUGAAGAAAUUGAGUUGUCGUGCUAAUUUGUGGCUGGAUUUGUGAAUCAAAAUAAGUCUUAAGGUCUCUUGAAUUGUGUUAUUCAAGACAUUUGAGCAUAAUCAAACACAAAUUGUGAUCUUCUUAAUGGAAUUAACAUUCUCUUACUUUGUACUACCUUGCUAGUUAGAUUCUCAGUCUUAACAAAUUUCAUUUAUUUUAAAUAUAUAUAUAUAUACACACACACACACACACACACACACACACACACAUUUGUAUUGCUUGCAUGCUGCCUGAAUAUUGUUUGGAUUGAUGUUGUUUUUAAUUUUGUAGUUUUGGGUUAAUUAACAAAACAAACAACAUAUUUAAAAAAAAUACAAAACAACAUUGAUUCUGAAAGAACCGAUGUUGUAAUGCACCAUACAACAUUGGUUUUGGCUAAAACCGACCGAUGUUGUAUAGUAGCAAAACAACAUCGGUUUUGGAAGAAACCGAUGUUGUAUGGUGCAAAACAACAUCGGUUCUUCCAAGACCGAUAUUUUUGAAGUUUUUGUAUUUUUCUUUGUAUAUUUCUUUCUAUACGACAUUGGUUUUCUUAAAAACCAAUGUUGAGUAGUGUAUGUCAAUUUCAGUUUUAUAAAAAUUGAUGUUAACAUUGAUACUUUUAAUGUUGGUGGUUUCAACAUUUGUUAAAAGUCGAUGUUGAAAGUAAAAAAUAACUGAUGUUAAAAUCCUAUUAUCUAGUAGUGUUACUGCUACCACCACCAUUGUGAUCACCACUAUGGCCACAAUUGUAGCCAUUAACCUAAUGUCCUUGAUUGCCAACUUCUUCGUGGCUCUCAUAAUAUAAUACUUCACACAGUGACACUUCACUCAACAUCCUUUUUGGUCAGAACCUUCCGUAGGUAGUCCUUUCUAAGACCUCGACAAUCAUCUUUGACACUGCUCAAUUGCUCUCAAGAUCAUUGACUGUCCCCACAAAUCAACAUGAGACUUUUUAGCAUGCUUUUUCCUCACUCACAUGCUUGCACGAAAACUUCCCUGAAGAUCACCUAUCUCAUAACUACUCUAAGUCAAGCAAACUUAACUGUGAAGUUCUUAAGUGAUAAGCUACUAAAAAGUAGAUACAUCUUGUUGGUAUAAGUAGUGUCAAUUAAUACUUUUAAGUUCUUGAGUCUUUUGUUUUAGUUUUUUUUACUCUACUCUAGAGUCAUUCUAAGUUUCUCUUUGAGUCCUAGCUUGCUUUUAUGUGCUUUUCAUUGCUUUAAUUGUUGAAUAAUCCUUGAAAAUUUGUCUUGUUAAAACUCUAUUAGUUUAACUUUCAUUUCAUUUUUUUGGUCUUCGGUUAUUGCUUGUCUCUUUGUUUCCUUGUUUGUGAGUUGCCAUAUAGGGAAUUGGAAAGGAGGAUUGGUGUCAUCCCUUGAAGAAUUUGAGUCAAGAAGCAAGGAAAAAACCACCUUAAGAGCUAUUAGACUAAGAAGCACUCCAAAUUGAGAGAAUCACCAAAGAGAGAACAACCAUCAAAAUUGAGGACCUUUUGGUAAUUUUGUAAUUGAUAAUUUACUUACUUUCAUUGCUUUCAAAUUUUGUAACAAAAAGGCCUUUCAUUGGAAGUAAGUUGGGAGCCUCCAAUAGGUCACCCUACUUCCAUUUGUGUGUAAUAAUUUUAGGCAAUUUUCCCUUAGGAUUAUGAGUGUUUUGUUGGGAACCUUAAAUGUGGUCAUCCAAACACUCUUAGGAUUCGCCUAGUUUACAUUUCUUGCUUACUUUCAUAGCUUAUUUCUUUUACCUUCCAUUGUCAAACAGCCUAGAUAGCUUACCUUUUACCAAUUAUUUUUUACCUUAUCUUUCACACCUCUUUUAGUGUUUAUUUUGGCUAGUUUCAACCAUAGUCUCUUUUACCUUUUGUUUUCAAACCCCCAACAAGAAAGAACCAUAACUUAGGAACCAACAUGAGUCUUCAUUCUUCAUCUAGUGUUAAUGGUGAGAGUUCUACUCCUAAGGACCCCUUGUAUAAGAUAUUAGAUGAGUUGAGAUCCCUUAAGUUGUGGAAAGAAAAACAAGAGAGAAGAAAAAAGGUAAAAAAAGAGUGGAAGAAAUAAGUCAAGAUGAAAGAGAGAAAAUAAGAAAGGAAGAAAGAAGAAAAAUAAUGAAAGAAAUGAAAAGAGAAAAACAUGUCUCUUAUAGUAGUCAUAACUCUUGUAAGAGCCUAAGUGAAGAACUUCGUGACUAUUAUGAAGGAAGGCAUAGGUCACAUCUUAGACCUCACUCCCAUAGGAGAGAAAAUGAAAGAAAGCCUCAAGAGGCUAACAUUAACCUCCCAUACUUCCAUGGGAAGGACAAUGUAGAGGCUUACUUAGAUUGGGAAAUAAGGGUAGAGCAAAAACUUAAAAAAAAGUCUACUUUAAAAUCUUAUGGCUCUCAUUCUUAUCCAAAGAAAGACCAAGGUCUAGGCAUCUUAAGGGUAGCACCUUCUAAGCCCAAAGAUGAUAAGAGGAAGACAAUAGAAAAGCAACCCCCUAAGGCUAGUAUGCAAGAAAAGAUUAGCUUUAUAAAGUGCUUUAAAUGUCUUGGAAGGGGACACAUUACUUAUCAAUACCCCACCAAGAAAACCAUGAUUAUGAGGAGCCAAGACAUUUAUAGUAGCCAAGAUGAGGCUACUCUUUACCUUCUUCGAGUGAAAGUGAAGAAGCAAAAGGGGAAAAAUCUAGUGAAGAAAUCUACCCCCAAGAAGAAGGACAACCUUUAAUGGUUAAGGAGGAGUGUAAGAAGGUAAGUGUCUCCUCUAAAAGGUUAGCUAAGAAGGGAAAGACAUUUUGCAAUAAAGACAAAUAUUAAAGAAACUUUCCCUCUUAGACAACCUCCACAUUUUCUCCUUUGUAAAAAGACACUUGUUAGCAUUGGCACAUCUCUUGGGCUUGAGUUUAUUCCUCAAGUAAAGGAGUUGAUGGAUGAGGGUUUGGUUCGCAAGAGCUUAAAUCCUUGUGCUUUGUUGGUGCCCAAAAUAGGUAUUAUUAGGCACCAAAUCCCUAAAAUAGGUGGUAUGAUGAAUGUUUUGAGUGGUGCAACCCUCUUUUGUAAAAUCACUCGUGCACCCAACAUCUUCAUGAUUUGUGUACAUAGGGACUCAUUAGGUAGGUUUGUUCUUUUUUUUAGUUUCAAUACAAACUUAGGUACUCAUAUGGGACACCUUAGGUUUGAAAUACUUUUUGUUAGGAAUAAUCAACAUGAAAAUAUAGAAAAAUGUAUGUUUUAUUGCAUUACUUUUCUUAAUUUUUUAAAUAGUGAUCAAAGGGUUCCCAUGAACCCUAAGAGAAUAAAGGUCAUUCCUGAGUGGCCCACUCCACCAAGUAUAAGAAAAAUUUGGGGUUUCCAUGACUUAACAAACUUUUACAAAAGGUUUGUCCCAUAUUUUUCUAUACUUGUAGCACCACUCAUUGAGUUGGUGAGGAACCAUGUUCCUUCAUGGGAAGAUGCCCAGGAAAUGGAUUUUCAAAUCUUACCUUACUUCAACAUACCAAACACCACUAAUAUAUAUGUUUUUGUUCUUUUUACAGGAGUUGAGGAAAAAAGCCCAGAGUUUCAAGAAUCUCGAGAUUUGAGAUCAAAUCCUUUUCAAGGGGGAGGGAAUGAUGCAAUCCUACCCUGCAAGGGCAUUGGAUAGAAGACUCCAAGUAGAUUGGGCCAGAGAUGCAAGAGAAGACCCUAAGGUUCUCGAGCCCAUGGGCUAAGUAUGAGCCCACUUAUCUUUGUACAUAUUAUAUUAAGGUUUCAUUAUUUUUGGGCCUUGUAUUUAGGGCUCCAUAAUGUAGGUAUGGUAUCCUAGAAAUGUAGGAUUUUUCAGCCCUUGUAUUUUAGGGCACCUAGACUAGUUUUUGUAUUAGGGGUAGUUUUGUAAUUUCACAUGCAUUAAGUGAAUAUUUGAUGUGUGUGUUGGAAAAUAAAUUUAAUUGAAUUGGGAGAAGCCCAAUCCAAUUAAAUUUUAGAGGGGAAGGUGAGCAUUUGCUUACUACACCCCAUUGCCACAUCAUAUAGUCACACUUUGUGCAUGUCCUUCAUGCUUUACAUGCCUCAUGACACCUACGCACACUUAGUGAAGAAUCUUGGACUUGAUCUUGGAUUAGUAGGCUGAACCAUAACUAAAAGUCACUAAUCAUAAUUAGUAAAAUUUUGGCUCCAAAAUUUGGCUCCACAAAUUCAAUUUCAAAUCCAAGUGAAAUUUGAAUAGAAAUUCAAAUUUCCCUCCAAUUUUGUGUGACACUUAGGCUAUAAAUAGAGGUCAUGUGUGUGCAAUUUUUUUCAACUUUGAUCAUUUGAAAAUUAAACUUCAGAUUUCAGAGCUCUUUUAGAGCACAAAAUUUCGUCCUUUUCUCUUCCUCUCCCUCCAUUCAUCUCUUUCUUCCUCCAAGCUCUUAUCCAUGACCUCUUAUGGUGAUGAACUUCUUCUAGACUCAUCUUCUCCUUGAAGUGGCGUCUCCUCUCUCUCUUCCUUCUCCAUUUCACUGCCAUUCAUCUUCCAAGAAGCAAAUGAAUCUAUUGAUGAAGAAGAUCCUAGGCCUACAAACUCCAAUGGAGCUUACAUCACUGUGGGUCUUUCAACUUGGUUAUUUUAGGAGGCUAAUUUGGCUACUUGGCAAGUCAAUUGAAUACUCAAAGCGAUUAAAAUGCUUGUUGUGAAGUUAUAAUCUUGCUUUUAUUAAAAGGAGGUAUUUGACUAUUAGACUAGUCGAAUACCCUUUCAGUACAGUAGAUAAUCACAAAGUUUUCCAAGUGUAUUUAUAAUUCCUAUUUUUCUUAAAACCAUAAUGUGAUCAAAAGUGGGGCUACCCACUGCCAAGUAAAAUUGAAGGCAUCCUUCUCAACCAACCAUUGAUUGUGACAUUGAGAAUUCAGUAGGACUUAUUGAUUGUCAAACAUGAUACAAAACAGAACACAUUAAAAGGAAAUGAUUUGUUGAUUCAAAAACAUUAUAGAAACAUAGCAUUUAAGAGUUUUCUUUUGGUGAGAUUCCUCUCUUGAGAAGAUUAUAUUUUCUGGGGAGUUUAUUAAGAACCACCUUUUGAGAAGCAGAGGAAGUGUAUAUAGAUUGUCAAACAAUAUACUAACUUCUGAAGAGCCUUGUUGUUGAAGCUUUUAAUUUGUAUGCUGGCUUUAUUGUGUAAGACAUAUAUGGAUGCAUCUAUCUUCUAAAGCUCGGGUCUGAUUGAUCUUCACAUACUAAUGCACUGUUAAUUAUAAAACAAAUCAAAGUGUUUACUAAAUCCUUUUCUCAUUCCAGCAAGUUUCAAUGCUAAAAUAGAUUCCACUUCCAAGCACCAUUUUUUCCAUGCACUGGCCACUUCAUUGACUUUUGCCUCCUCGGUUGUACAGAUGAGAAACAUGUCAAAAAGAUCUUUUGAACCUAGCUUCUACCAAUUUAUCAACUAUAAUAGUAGGUACCACACUCCUAUUUCCUAUUUUGAUGGCUACUUCCUCUUUAAACCAUUUUUUCUCGCACUCUCACCAUUCUGACGCCAUAGUUUCCUCUUUAUUUAACUCCCACUUUACAUAUUUUUUGAGACUAUAAUCAUGUUCAAUAAAACCUAUCCCUGGACUACUAAGUUUUAUUUUUAAUUCUCCAUAGGAGCUAAUUUAGUCGAAUAAUUCAAAGUCUCUCACCCUUAAUCCUCCCUCUUUUAAUUUCACUAGCGUACUCUUUCUCUUUUGACCCAAACCACUUCUGAUGAAUCCUCAUAAUUACUCCAACAAAUUUAUAAUAUGAAUUAUAAAAAAUAUUACACCACCAUUCCAACAUAAACGUCGUCCUAGUUUAUUUUACAGAAUAAAAAAAAUAAUAAGUAUAUAAAAGAGAAUAAUAAAUUUAUAAAACUAACUUUAUUAUAUAGAUAAAAAAGAAUAAUAUUAAUAUUAUAUUCAAAAACUAAAAUAACAUUUAUUACGAGCAUGAUGAAAAAAAGUAAUUAAUAUUACAUUAAAAAUUAAAUGGGAUAAGAAUAAUUUGUUUUUACUAAAUGCUGCACUUAUUUUAGGACAAAUGUAGUAUUAUUACAUCCGUCUCUAUAUAUAAGAUUUUUUCAAUUAAUUUACGUGUUUAAAAAAGUAGUUAAUUUAAUUAAGUACAUUAAAUUUAUUAAUAAUUUAUACUAUUUUUCAAAAUUAUCAUUAAUUUCUCUUUUCACUUAAUUAUUUCUCACCUAAUUAAUUAAUGUGAUUUCUUCUAUUCUCACAUUCUAAUAAGAGAGAAAGUUCGUAUAGGAAUGAAAUAGGUAAUUAAUGCACUAAACAAUUAAAAGAAAGUUUUAUAAAAAUGAAUAAAUAAUAAAAUAAAAUGUAUCUUAUAUAUGGAAACAAAGAUAGUAUUUCUAACUAACGAGACUAUUGUUUUGCUUUUCUUUUAGAGGGUAUUUUAGGAUAUUAAUUAAUAAACUAAAAAGAAAAAUAAUUAUUGUGUAAAUCAUAAGAAAAUAAAAAAAAAUUAUAAAUAAUAUAAUUUUUAUGUUUUCCAAUAAAAAUAUUUUAUUUUAAAUUCUUUAACCAAGGUAUUUGCCGCAAUUGUUAGACUUUGCUCUUUUUAAUUGUCGUAUGAGAGGUGGAGGAUGCAUGCACUUUAGCGAUUCUCCAUCCUGGAACUCAAUCCUCACGUGUAAUUUGCAAGCGUUGGCGGUGUGGUCAUUCCCAAGGAAUAUCUGUUCUCGUUAACUUUGCACUUUUUGGCCCUUAAUCAUACUGUACCUCCAAGAUCAAAAUCGUAAUUAAACAUUUAUGCAAAUUUUAUAUAUAUAAAAAAUCUAAUAAGUAUUUUUAAAAUAUUGGUUAAAUAAUUGAAAGAAAAAUAUUUUUAUUGAGAUAAGUAAAAUUAUACUGUUAGAUGACUUUUUUAACUCUUUUAUAAUUUUCAUAAUAAAUAUUUUUUCUUUUAAAUAUCUUAACUCAUUGACUAACAAGAAAAUAAAAAAAAAUAAAAAAUUUACCCACAUCAAAGUGAUGGAAUCAUAAUAUAAGUGUAAAUGUGAUCUCGUGACCUUCCAAAAUUGUAUGUAUUUUUUAAUAUUUAAUUUUUUAUAUUAAAACUCUAGCUUUUAGUGAAUCAGUGCAAAACUUAUUAUGAUCAUGUAGGAACUGUAGACGACCUCAAAAGAAAAAAAAUGAAGUAACUGUAGACUACAUAUAUUAAUUAAAUUUGUUAUCAUGUAUGUGUUAGGUUAGGGAUGACAUAUAGUAACUGUAGACUACAUUGUCCCGAUUCUCAUUAAGGAAUAUUAUUUUACUCUUGUGCCUGUUCUUUGAUUCCAAGCAAAGACCCUGAAAUUAUUCAAAACAAAAAAAAAAAAUCUUACUCUAGUCCUUUAAAUUAUAUAAAUUAGAUAUUUUAAUCCUGAAAAUUUUAGAAAUAUUUAAUUAACUUAUUAAUAUACUUCCUUUAUGGGCUGAUAAAAAACUUAUUAUUAUUAUUUUUUUAAAAAGUCAUUAUUAUAAUCUUUUACGACUGUAUUUUUAUUCGUUUUGAAUAAAAAAGGAAAAAAAUUAAAUGGCAUUUUAUAAAAAUAAAGAGUGAAAAAAAUCAGAGAUUAAAAUAUAACUCAUACAAUUUUAAUGAUUUAGAUAAUAAUAAAAUAAUAAAAGGGCUAAAGAAUAAUCAUAUGACCCAUAUAUAUAUGAGAGAGAGAGAGAGAGAGAGAGAGAGAGAGAGAGAGAGAGAGAGAGAGAGAGAGAGAGAGAGAGAUUGUAGAAGUAGUUUAAGUAAAAUUUAUGUAAAUCCUUUCAAGUAUCCUCUUAUGUAUACAAUUAUUAAAAGUAAUUAUGUAAUUUUUAUGUAUAAAGAUUCUGCCGAAAAAAUACUUUUUUCUUCUCAAUCUCUCCAUCGAUCUAAAUAUGUUUCAUAGAGUUCUAAAAUCCUUGUUUUCAGAGGAGGAAAAAAAAAUGAAUUUGAAGUUUCAAUCAAAAAAAUUUAAAGUAUUUCUAAAUUAAGGGAAAAAAUUGUCAUCUAUGUAUUAGAUAAUUAAUUAAGGGGAUUUAGAAUUAUUUUUUCAUAUUUAAUUUACUUAGUGUUAUUAAAUAACAUUGAGUCUUGUGGAUAUAAAACAUAAUUAGAAGGAGAAACCUUAAAAAAAAUAGUUAAAUAGGUUCUCUAAAAUUAUCAUCAGUAAAAUUAAUAGAUACUCGACAUCAAUAUUAUGAAGAUAAAAAAAUAUAUUGAUAAAAAAAUGUUGACUUCGUCUCAUUUUUAUGUCUAAUUUUUUAAGUGUUAGCUUUCCAAAAAAAGUACUCUUAUUUAUUAAUAUUGUUUUAAAAUUUAAAAUAAUACCAAUUAUAUAUUAUUGAUAAUUAUAUAUAUCUUUAUCUUUAUGAUUUAUUUUAUAAAUUUAUCAUAAAAUUAAAUAGAAAGAAAUAAAAUAAAAAGUAACAAAAUUAAUCAAUAAAAUAAAUAAAAGGCACAACAGAAAACUAGAUAACAAUUUUAAGAAACACAAGAACAUUAGUUAUAAUUUUUAUUUUCUGUGUCACAACCUUAAACAACAUUUAUAAAAUAGAAGUAGUAAUUUUAUAAGGAUAAAAAUUGAAGUGAUUAGGUACUAGUAAAACUAUUUUUAGUUAAAAUGCAAAUUUUAGUUAGAUUAUUCGCAUCAAGUUUUAAUACUAAACUAUUAGUGAUUAAUGAGACAAUUCUGAGUUUAUUUGAUAAACAAUAUCAUAAAUAUGCAAAGAUUAACUACUUAAUUGAAAGACUAUAUAAAUAUCUAUUUAUUGAAAGUUGUACAAAUAAUAGUAAGGGUUAAAAUUUAAUGUGAAGGUGGAAUAUCUUACAUUAAGAAUAAAUAGAUAAGUUGAGUAACACAUAAGUGAGAAAGACUCAUAAACCUCAUGUCUUAUGAUUUUAUGUUAAAGGUGAUGUCAAAUUCACUUAUUAUCUACUUGUAUAUUUGGUCUAUUAGUGAAGAUUUUUCCAGUGUUUUAUUCCCCUAGAUUAGAAUCAAUGGUUUGAUCUGGUGAACUUGUGCAAAUAUAAUGGAAUUAGUGGUGGAUUCACGCAUGAAAAUUUUUUAUAUCGAAAGUCUUCUUAAUGGUGGGUAUAGGAAUCGAAAAGUUCUCACAAUAACAUCGAAAUUGGACUAUAUGUCUCGCUAAUGUGAAUUAAUGGCGAUGCAAGUAUCUAGAAUGUCAUCAUUGAAUACUUGCAGAUUAAAAAAAAGUUUCCGCUUGAGGGAGAACUACCAUAUGUAAAAAAUAUUCAUACUUAAGAAGAAUUGUUAGAAUUCAAAUGUGAAGGUGAAAUCAAACAUUAGGUAAAAAUAAAUAAGUUGAGUAACAUAUAUGUGAGGAAGACUCACAAAUGUGAUUCCUUUAAGUUUGGAGAUGAAGAUAAUGUCAAAUUUACUUGUGUGUGGUGUGCUUGUAAUCCAUUGUUAAAAAUCUCUAUGAUGUUUUAUCUCUUUUAGAUUCCCAAUAGUCUUUAUUCAUAAUUUUAUAGUUUUUAAUAAAAUUUAAUUAAUAUUUGUUGUAAGAAUGGUGGAUCUAAGCUCUGAUACGGUGGUUCGAGGCUCCCAUGCGUUGUGUAAGAGAUUUGGAGUGGUAGAUUUGAGUAGAUCUUAGAAGAGUGUAGGGAGAAGAAGCCAAGUUUGGGUUUGUAUCCAGAAUAUUAAGUUAGCCCUGUAGUUUGUUGUUGAUAGGCUUAUAUAGUCAUUUUCAGCGGGAAAAUCCAUUAGAUGCCCAUGGCCACGUGUAUCCAGUGGUUGUCAACGGGCAAAGUUUAUCCCUUGUCAGUUGCUAAGCGUCGGCGAUGCUCAAAGAUCUCGACGGAGGCAUCUCAAGAUACCUAGGUCUGAGAUACAUCUCUAACAAUAUUAGAGAAUGUAUUAAAAAAAAUAUUAUUAAUAUUUUUGUGUGUGAGUGUGUGCAUUAUCUGCAUUCUUUCGUUUCUCAUAAUAUCAUCCCUAACUAUUUGGAUUUUAACAUUACCGACAUAAUAGCAUGUAGAAAAUGCCCAGCCGACACCUAAAAGGCAUGAAGAAAUAUGAUGUGGUUGAGCAAUGCUUUGUCGUUGAUUGAUUUGUCAAAUGUUUAUUUGUUUCCUUUAGAAAAUAAGUGUGCAAUAAUACAAUAACGAAAGGGACCUCAAUACAAUAUAACUUGUUUCUCAGAAAAAGAAAAUAAUAUCUAUAUACAUCGGAGAGGAAUCAAAUUAUUAGUCAUUGCUUUAAUUAUAAUUCAAAGUUUCUAUAAUAAAACUACUAAACUGGGUCACGUGACUGUAAAACACAUAUAGCUUAUUUUUACUUAAGAGGAAAACACAUAUAUACCUCCUCAAUAAAACUCUGGAUCUCUAAGAUCGUCAUCCUUAAUCACACAGCUCAAUAUUGUGGUCACGAGUUAUAUAGCUAAUCACGUGAGGCACCUUUGCAUACUUGAUAACGAAAAAUUGCUUGAUGGAUUAUUCGUUGGUGAGGAAACUAUUUUAUACCAUGAUGAAUUUCGUUUGAAUAUCUGAAUGGGCUAGAAGCAAAUCAUUGAGGUAUAGAGAUCGUAUGUGUUAUAUUCGAUCGCUUCUAUGUAAAAUUUUAAGUAUAUAUCAAAUUGCCUUGAUUUUGUCUAGUUUUUGUGCUACGUACCCUGCUAUCUAGGAAUAGUGGCCUUGAUUGCUGUAAAUGAGGUUGUGAUGAUGGGGGUUUUAAUCUGAAAUUGCCGCAUGAGAUAAAAAUAUUGGAUUAUUGUUGAGUAGAGAAAUUUAUUGAGGCUAUGCGAGGAAGAAAGGAAAUUGCUUGAAAUUUUGAAUAGAAGAGAGAAGCUAAUAUAGAGAAUGAGGAUUUGAGUCUAAUUCAAUUUCAAAAAUUAAUUAGUUUAUAGGGUGAAAGUUAUCUUUAUUUAUAUAAUCUAUCUUGACCUCUAGCCGAUGUGAAACUUGAGAUUUGUUUUUCAAAUACUCCCCCUCAUGUCCAACACUUUUGGGCUUAGUGUGUGGAUAACAUGAUGGGUGACUCGUUUAAUGGAUUUAAGAUAUGUUUUAAUACCAUUUUAAAAUGUGGGUAUGAGCUUAUCUAAAACCCAAAUACUAGUUCAUGGGCUGAGGGUUACUCCCAUUUAUAUAGUCUAUCUUGACACUAUCUCUAGUCAAUGUGGGACUUGGGUUUUCCAAUAUUAAUUACUCUAAAUCACAAUCAAUAAUCUUCGAAGAAUUUCCUUUAUUCUAAAAUAAACUAUGUUUAAGACCUUUUACAUAUAUUAAGGAAAAUAAGGCUGAAACAUGUGUUUUUGUCCUUAUAAAAUUGGUAAAGUUUCAUUUUUGUCCCUUCGAAAAAUUUCGUUCUUGUUGCGUUUUCAUCAUUCGAAGUAAGGGGGAGUAAGAACUUUUGCUCGUAAGUAUGGCAUUGGCCUACAUGACGAAGCAUAACCAUGCUUCACGUAAGCAGGGACAUUCGAAAGGGAAACAAAAUAGAGUAAGACUUUAGGAAUUAUAGUCUAUCUUGACACUACCUCUAGUCAAUGUGGAACUUGAGUUUUCCAAUAUUAAUUACUAUAAAUCACAAUCAAUAAUCCUCAAAUUUCCUUUAUUCUAAAAUAAACUAUGUUUAAGACCUUUUACAUAUAUUAAGGAAAAUAAGGCUGAAACGUGGUUUUGUACUUAUAAAAUUGGUAAAGUUUCAUUUUUGUCCCUUCAAAAAAUUUUGUUCUUGUUGUGUUUUCGUCAUUCGAAGUAAGGGGGAGUAAAAACUCUUGCUCGUAAGUAUGGCAUUGGCCUACAUGACAAAGCAUAACCAUGCUUCACGUUAGCAGGGACAUUCGAAAGGGAAACAAAAUAGAGUAAGAUUUUAGGAAUUAUAAUCUAUCUUGACACUACCUCUAGUCAAUGUGGGACUUGGGUUUUCCAAUAUUAAUUACUAUAAAUCACAAUCAAUAAUCCUCGAAGAAUUUCCUUUAUUCUAAAAUAAACUAUGUUUAAGACCUUUUACAUAUAUUAAGGAAAAUAAGGCUGAAACAUAUGUUUUUGUCCUUAUAAAAUUGGUAAAGUUUCAUUUUUGUUCCUUCGAAAAAUUUCAAUCUUGUUGUGUUUUGGUCAUUUGAAGUAAGGGGGAGUAAGAACUCUUGCUCAUAAGUAUGGCAUUGGCCUACAUGACGAAGCAUAACCAUGCUUCACGUAAGUAGGGACAUUCAAAAGGGAAACAAAAUAGAGUAAGAUUUUAGGAAUUAUGCACGACCAUGCUUCACAACAAAAUUACCACUUUGGAAUGUAUGCAUAGAAACUUGAUGUGUAAAAUAUAUUUGCACAAGGGCAAGCAUACCCUAUACAAAAGUUAUAGUGGGCCGAAGUCCAAAUAUCAUACCCAAAGGAUCAGUUGUAUUCCCAUAAUAAUUUAAUUUUCAAUAAACUAAACAAUUUGGGCUUUCAUCGAUAGUUGAAAGAUUUGUGUUUAAUUACUUUGUAGAAAAUACUACUCUAGAAUAAUGAGAGAGACAGUGCAAUGAAAUUAUAGAUGAAAAGGCUUGGGGCUAUGAUUAAAUCUCACAAAAUGAAUUUCUCUAAUUCUACAUUAGUAAAUUUCUCAAUGUUUAUCAAUUACUGACUUCUCUUAAGGUUGCUCAAAGGUUUUUGCCAAACACUUUCAACAAUCUUUCUCUUAAUUUAGUUCUAAUUUGGUAAUUAAGAAAUAAAUUACGACAAAGCAUAAACACAUAAAGAAUGACAAUCAGAAAUACCUAAAAUAUGUUUGGUCAAUCAUUAUUCUAAAGGAUUCAGUUGUUCUAUAAUUGCUAUUCAUAUGAAGUCGAUCACAAACACACAAAUAAAUAAAAUAUAGAUUGACCAAGUCUAAUGAGAAAUUAAGCACAAUAUAACAACAUAAUUGACUGAAUAAAAAUAUUUUAAAUUAAGUAAAAUUGGGGUUCAUCUGCAGAUUACAUCAUAACCCUAGAAAAUAAGGGUUUAGCCAGCCAUAGGCACAAACAAGCAAAACAAUAACCUCAUAUGCAUGAGAAAGAUAAGGGAGUAAGAAAAAUUACAAUUAGAAGCCCCAACAAUCUUCUCGUGUUCUUCCCAAUUCAAAAGAGAUCUCACACUAUGCCUAGGUCACUCACAAAGUCAAUUUUUGUACACAACGUAAAAUAUAUCUACUUUCAUUUUCCUCUUUCUAUUUAUAGUACAAAAUUAGAGUGUUUGUCAUGGAAGGAAGCACGAUCAUUCUCGAAAAAUUAAAGCCUGAUUGUGAAAUUUGGAGAAUAAUCAUCCUAGAUGAGAACAAUUGUUCUUGAAAAAUUUGAUGUUGUUUCCCAAUUUUUGAAAAUCAGAGCAUGGGUGGGCUGGAAGGAACAUAGAUGUGCUGGAAUAAGCACGACCAUUUUCCCAAAUAGCAUGAUCGUGCUCUUCGUCAUGGUUUUUGUUUAACUUUUUUUCAGCCUUUUUUUUGUGAGUUUUCCUCUUUUUUCAACUUUUGGUCUGUUUGCGUCACACUUUAAAGAAGUCCAUGAGUUUUGCCAACAAAUUAAGUAUAAAAAAAACAUGCAAAACACAAGGCUAAAAUUCUUAUCAAAUAUCACACAAAUACCAGUUUAUCAACCUCCCCACACUUGAACAUUGAUUGUCCUCAAGCAAUUAUUCUGAUUUAAAUAUUAAAAUUGGUUUCUCUUAAUCCAAGAAAUCAUUCCAUAGAGCCACAAAAUUUGUUUUUUAUUAACACUCAACAUAAAAUAGAAUAGACAGACAACAUAGAGUUCAAGAUUUUUUCCCUAGGAACUUCAAUAGAUUUUCAAUUCUAGUUGGAUGUCAAGUUUCAAAGAGCAACAUAUCACUUUUCUCACCACAAUCAUAAGCACUCAGAUCACACUUAAGAAGUGUGAAACUCCAUCUAUCUGUCAAUCAACUUGAUAACUGCAAAAUUUGAGUUAAUUUGAUAAUCAAUUUUGGCCAUGAAUGAUUGAAAUUUCUUCACUUUACUGUUGUUUUUAAUGAAAUAAUAAAGAAAUUAAUAUCUUCAGAAUUUUUUAUUGGCAUAAUUCAAAAGAAAAAGAUUUCAAGUGCUUUAUAGGAAAAUUGAUACCAAAACUAGAAGAAAGAGCCUUGAAGAAAAGUUGGAAGAAGUAGAUAGCUCGCUUAGUGCAUAAUCCAGGCUUAGUGUGCACUCGUGCUUAGCGGGCAACCUCAAGCUUAGUGCGAAGAAAGCCCAAAACGAAGCUCAAAGGCGCGCUUAGUGUGAAAGCCCGCGCUAAGCACAAAGUCAGCAUGAAAAGUAAGCUACCUGGAGCCUAUAUAAGGAGGAAGAAGCUGAAGGGAAAAACACACCAAGUCUCAAAGGUUUCUAUUGAAGAUAUCCAAACCCUGAGCCUAUCCUUUAUGGGAAACCCUCCAUCUCUAGCCAUUCCUCUCUUUCUUGCUUUUAGUCAUUCAACCCCUUCUUCCAUCCACAUUAGCCCCUAAAGUGUAAAGUCUCUCAUGGCUAUGAGAGGCUAAACCUCCACUGUUGGGAGCCUAGCAAUCAAUGCCCUUGUAAUGCAACUAUUCUCAUUAUCUAUUAAUGUAAUUUUAGUUUCUAUUGUCUCUUUUCUGCUCUUCAUCUUUAUUGUGUGGUCUAGCCAUCCAUGCAUUAGUUUUUAGGGGUUAUACAUUGGGAAAUGGUAAUUUCUAAAGAACUAGAAAAGGGGAUCUAAACAAAUCAUUGUUAGGGAUAAAGUGACUUUGUUUUGCCUCUGCAUACAUCUCCAUGCUUAAUGUAAUUUACUAUUCAAUCUUUACAAAGGGAUUUGGGAGAGAGAAUAGAUAUAUUAGGCUCUUCAUUGUGAGGGAUCAGGGUUGAGUGUCUUAGUAGAUGUGGGUCGAAAUUGGGAAAACAUUUAAUAGAAAAAAACAUUAAUAUUGCAUCAAGGGUAGUUAGGCAUGCUAGGCCCCAACAUAUUUAAAUAUUGAAGUUAUCUCUUGCAUUAAUCUUGUUUAUUUUAUUAUUCUUGUCUUUUUAAUUUCAAAUUGUUUCCUUCUUCUUAUCUCUAUUAUAAUCUCUUGCUUGCAAAUUGGGUAUUCAUCAACGCAAGUACAAACAAAGUUCAUGUGGAUUCGACACUCGGUCUUCCGUUUAAACUUUACUACUUGUGAAAAAUUGGUACACUUGCCAACAAGUUUACACAAGUAAACUCAAACAACAAUCUAGAAAGCAUGAAAGUGAGGCAUCACAAGGUGUAAUAGGGUCAGACUGCAAUGUAAGGCAGGUAAAGAACAAAUAUGAUAACAAAAAGGCUCAUCAAUACCCCAACUUAGACUUAGUGACACAAACUGAGGAUACAAAAGCUUUAUCUAAUUAGCAAUAUCCCAAAAUCAUUUCCUUUUGAUCCCUUACUUCUUCUAUUUAUUUUCCUUAUGUGACUUUUUUUAAGAAGAAGAAGAAGAAAUUAAAAAAAAAAUCACAUUGGCAUAAAAAUAACAUAUGUACCGCAAUAAUACAAGUUGUGGGAUGGUUCAAAUAGUGCACAGUGAAAACCCCUCCCUACACUUAAGAGAUACAGUGUCCCUAAUGCAAAAAGCAUAAAACUAAAGCAUAACUUGAAAAUAGAGAAGGAACAAAGAAAACAAGAUUUAUUAAAAAUACAAAGAUUUUAAAUUUUCUAUGCCUACUAAUGCAAAAUAAAAAGGUAGAAAAAAAAGGAUAUGCCUAGCUCAAAGGCCAGUGCAUUCACAGGUUUCCUCCUAUAUAGCGCUUGUUUUUUGUCCCGAGCCUGAUGGUUGAAAGAGAGAUAAAUCAACCACCCUUGAAUAAGGUAAUGUCCUUUUCUCACAACAAUCCCUUAGCAAGGUCAUCCACUCUAUAGCUAAGUGCUUGAGUGGUGGUUCCAUCUCUAUCCCUCAUGCCACUUCAAAGGUUUUUUGGAAUGAUGUUUUCUUCCAAAGUGUUUUCCUUCCCACACUUGGCUGAUGCCUAGCCACAAUGACUUCCAUGUUUUUAGUGACUAGCACAAAAUUGCAGGAAAGUAAAGAGAAAGAUCUUUUUGCUUAAUCAAACACCUUAAACACUUCCUUCUCAUCACCUAGCCUCGAUGUCAAUUUCCCUUCUUGGACAUCAAUCAAGGCCCCUCCUAUGUUAACGAAAGGUCAUCCCAAAAUAAUUGGGAUUUCUUCAUCCUCCUCUAUAUCAAAAAUUACAAAGUCAGCUAGGAAAAUGAAUUUGUCAACCUUGACCAAUAAGUUUUGCAUUACCCGUUGUGGGUAAGUGAGGGUCCUAUCUACAAGUUGAAGAUAGACUUUAGUAGGUAGAAGUUCUUGCAACCCCAACUUCUUAAACACAAAAUAAGGCAUUAAAUUGAUACUAACACCUAAAUCACACAAUGUUUUAUCAAACAACAAGUUUCCUAUAGUAUAGGGAAUUGAAAAACUUCAUGGGUCCUUAAGCUUAGGAGUCAAUUUCUCUAAAACAACAACAUGACAUUCCUCAUUGAGACCAAUUAAUGCAAAGUCUUCCAAUUUCUUUUUGUUUUAAAUGAUUUCCUUUAAAAACUUGGAAUACUUUGGCAUUUCAGCAAUUGCCUUAGUGAAAGGAAUGUUAACAUGUAAUUUCUUAAACAUUUCAACAAACUUAGAAAGCCACUUAUCCUUCUGCUCAUUUCUCAUUCUCUAAGGAAAAGGAACACUUACCUGAGGAGGUGCCAAUACCCUUUUUUCACCCACUUUUUCUAUCUUGUGACUUUCUUCAGUGAGAGCCUCUUUUUCUAGUGUUGGAGUGGCUUUCUUUGUCUUCUUCGACUCUACCAUAGGCUUUCCGAUGCUGGUGCUCACUACAUUAAACUCCUCAUUCUUAGGAUUAACCUCUAUUUGAGAAGGAAGAGUCUUAGGAGCUCUUUGGGACAAAAGAUCUUUCAUGGUGGAGAGUUGAGUCUCCAUGAACUUCAUGUGCUCAUCAUUCUUGGCUAUAUAUUGGAUCAUAACAUCUUCCAAUGAUGGCCUUCUCUCUUCCUUCCUUGGCCUCUAAUUCUACAUAUGUGGUGGCAUAUACACAUUAUGAUUUUGCUCUGCCUAGGACCUUGGUUGAAUGUAUUAAAGUAAGGAUCAUAUCCUAUACUCUGUACACCAGCAUAGUUUACUUCCUCCAUGGCAUGUGCAAGUGCAUUACUCACUGGGCAUUCUCUUCCUCUAUGAGCCUCCCACACUUACCACAAGAGGGAGGUGAUAGUGUGGAAGCUAGAACCUAUGUCUGCACUCUCAUCAUAGUCUCCAUUUACUUGGUCGGCAUUUGGAGUUUUUGUUCAAUGCCUGAGCUGGAUGCUUCUACCUCCACUUGUUUCACCAAUCUCCUCACAAUCCUCUUAUCCCUAUAAUUUUUGUAGGGAUUAGAAGGCAUAUCUUCAAUGAUCUUGGUAGCUUCAACAUGAGAUUUCCUCCAUAAGCCGCAUCGACGCUUGUCCUAUUAUGAGAUGGCACUCCUCCAUAGAAAAUAUGUACAAAUUUUUGUGGGUUGAAACCAUGAUGUGGGCAACUCCGGAGCAACUCCCGAAACCUCUCAGAUGCUUGAGCCAAACUCUCCUGCUCCUUCGACACAAAAUUCUCAAUAUCUCUCUGUACUUAAUCAAUCUUAACUAUAAAGAAAUAUUUCUGAAGCAACUUAUUAGCGCAUUUCUCCUAAGUCGUGGUAUUGUGCUCGGGUAAAGCACAAAGGAAAUCCCAAGCUUUCCCAUUGAGUGAAACUGGAAAAACAUUCAAUCUCACAUACUUUCUAGGCACGUUUUGCACAUUGAUGGUGCUAGUCAACCUCAGGAAUCCUUUCAGGUGUGCCAUGAGUUUUUCAGAGGUUGCCCUAUGGAACUAAUUGCUUUCUAUCAUCAUCAAGAAACCAUAUCUCAUGUCAAAAUUGACUCUUGCCUCCAAAGUUGGCAACAAUAUGUUGUUAGCUACCCUCACUUGAGGAGCGAGAUAAUCUAACGGGGUCUACUCCACCUGCUCAUUGACAACAACCUCAUUCCCAUUACCUCAUCCAUUUCCAGCCAUGUCUCGUCUCCUCUGUUUAGCUCUAUUCUUGCAAGCAACUUUCUCGAUCUCAAGUUCGUGCAAGAGUUCAGGCCUCAGGGACUUAGUUAGCAUGCACUGAAAAUAAAAGAAAAGGAAUUAAACGCAAUUGAAAAUAGAAAAAAAUAAAAAUAACACAAAAUUAAAAAUUUUAGGAUUUAAAUAAUUGAAAUAAAGAUAAAUUAAAAUAGAAAAUUAAAGAAAAAUAAAAGCUAUAAACACUAUGAAUAGAAAUUUCUUGGUUCACACAAAAUGAAUUAUCCAAGAACUCUGCAAAUAGUCCCUGAUAAUGGCACUAGAAACUUGAUGCAUAAAAUAUGUUCACACUAGGGCAAGGGUAGCCUAUACAGUAGUUAGAAUGGACUUAAGUUCAGAUAUCGUACCCAAAGGACUAGUUGUGUUUCCAUAACUAUUCAAUUUGCAAUAAACUAAGCAUUUUCAAUUUUUUUUAUCAAAAGUUGAAAGACUUAUGUUCAAUUACUUUGUAGAAAACAAUACUCUAGAGUGAUCAAAGACAAUGCAAUGAAAUUAUCAAAUAAGAAGGCGUAGGGCUAUGACUAAAUCUCACAAUUGAAUCCCCUCAAUUCUACGUUAAUUGGCCACACACUUUUAACAAUCUUUCUCUUAAUUUAGUUCUAAUUUGGUCAAUUAAAAAGUAAAUUACGAGAAAACAUAAGUGUAUAGAGAAUGAAAAUAAAAAAUCCCUAAAAUAUGUUUGGUCAAUCAUUAUUCUAAAUGACUUAGUUGUUGUAUAAUUUUAUUAUUCAUACGAAGCUGAUCACAAAUGCACAAUAACUAGAAUAUAGAUUGAUCAAGUCUAAUGAGAAAUUAAGCAUGAUAGAACAAUAUAAUUGACUAAAUAAAAAUAAUUUUAAAUUAACUAAAACUGGGGUUCAUCUAUAGAUUACAUCAUAACCCUAGAAAAGAGGGGUUUAGUCGGCCAUAGGCACAGACAAGCAAAACAAUAACCUCAUAUACACGGGAAAGAUAAGGGAGUACGAAAAAUUACAAUUAGAAGCCCCCAUAAUCUUCCUCACAUUCUUCCCAAUCCAAAAGAGAUCCUACACUAUGCCUAGGUCACUCACAUAGUGAAUUUUCUUACACAACAUAAAAGAUAUCUACUUUCAUUUUCCCAUUUCUAUUUAUAGUACAAAAUUAGAGUGCCUGACAUGGAAGGGAGCACGAUCAUGCUGAAUAGAGGCACAACCAUUCUUGAAAAAUAGCAACUCUGAAAUCCCAAUUGCGGAAUUCGGAGAACAACCAUCUUAAAGGCGUUAUGGGGGUGUUCUAGAUGAACAUGACUGCUCUUGAAAAAUUUGACAUUGUUUCCCAAUUCUUGAAAAAUCAGAGCAUGGGUGUGCUAGAAGUACCAUGGUGUACUGGAAUGAUCACAUUCGUUCUCCCAAAGAGCAUGGCAGUGCUCUUCAUCAAAGUUUUUGCAAGUUUUCCUUGUUUUCAAGUUUUUCCCUAUUUGCAAUACACUUUAAAGAAUUCCAUGAGUUUUGCCAACAAGUUAAGUCAAAAACAUGCAAAAACAAGGCUAAACCUCAUAAAAUAUCUCACAAAUACUGGUUUAUUAGUCAUGCAUAUUUAUGCAAGACCAUGAUUUGAGAUGAGAACAACGCUUUAGAGGAAAUGAAGCAUGGUUGUGCUUCAUGUUGCAUGGUCGUGCAUUCCCUAAAGAGUGUGAAUCAAACUUAGGUGCCUUCAUAAGAAAUGCAAUCCUAGUAGCUAACCGAUAACUUUUGUCUCACCCAAAAAUAAGGUCCUUAGCUCAAGAUAUCAUAAUGUUUAUGAGCAAAUUUUGAGCUAUAAAAAUUACAUAGCUAUUUUAUGUUCCUUCUAAAUUUUAGUAUAGUAAAUUUUCAAACCAAUUUUUGAGGUCAACAUAUAAGUUGUAGUUAACUGUCUUAGCUUUCAAACUAGAUAAGAAUCAAAUUGAUAAAGUUAGUAUAAAUCUAGAAAUCGCCUUUUCAAUCUACAGUAGUCAUAGAUGUGUAACAGGAAAGGAGUGAGAUAACACUCAAAACUUAAGAAUUGUUAUUCUAAUUGGCUGUGAGUGUGACAUGUAUGUGAUAUGCAUGAGAUAAUUGAUUUGACUAUAUGUCAUUGUGAGAUGAAUGACUUAGUCUAUGAGAUUGAAAAAUUAGGCUUGGAUGGUAUCUAUAUAGUGAGUGACCUAAUUAAUCUAUGAGGGGCAAGGAUGCGCUCACUUCUGUGUGAUGGGACGUCUAAAGGGAUUAGUGUUGCAUCGGGAUGUGACAUGCAUCAUUUUCAUAGAGUCUCAAGUUGAUGUGAAAUAGAUAUGAGAUAGAUGGUGGAGGUUAUGACAACUUGAAUCUUAAGGGUUUUAGAGACCUAAUGUGGAAACCCCAUUAGCCCAUGUUAAGCCCAAAGGACUAAGGUCAAAAGUUGGGUAACCCUGCUAGUCAUUGAGUGGAUAUCAUUCUAGUGUAGUGCAAUAUAUAUUGAAGGCACUGACAUCAAUGAAGCAUCUUAUGGGUAGACAUAAAUGUACUAGAUUCAAGAGUUAGAGUUGGCACCACAUGACAUAUGGAAGUUCGGAUUACAUUGCACAUGGCAUGUAUACAAUUUUUAGUGAUUGCUGAUAAGCCUUUAUGUGAUUUUCAAUUGUUAAGGGAGUGUAUUUAUAUAUGUGUAAGAGUAUGCAUGCACUUGUGCUUUACCUAUUGUUAAUGUUAUACUAUAAGCAUGAUGUGAAAACAUAUUCUCACCCCUUGCUUUUGUUGUUCUUUGCUUGUAUGUGUUUAGGUUGAAUGUCAUUUGCAUGUAAUGUACUUCUGAAUAUUGAGUAGGAUGAUGGAGGAGCAACUUAUUUAUUUAUUUAUUUACAGUUGUUAUGUUUUCCUUUCAUAGGAUAGUAAGGUCUAACUAUUGUGACAUCAAGGAAUGGGAACUUCUAUAUUUUUAACUAAUUUUUUUAUAUUGCUUUCAUUUGAGAUGUAUGGCUUUUAAAGUGUCAAAUUUUAUAUAUUAAUUAAUGUUUUUGUUUAUGAAGCAUAUUAAAUUUGGAGUUAAAUUUGAGACAAUGAGAUAUGGACAUUGCUUCCAUAGACCACCUUAAUAGGUGGUCUAUUAUGGAUCAUUAAUGGUGGCCUUUAGAUUGAUCUAAUAUUCAUAGUGUUACGGUGUACCUCUGCAUAAUAGUACUACCUAUUUCUUUAUCCUCAACAACUACUACUUCCCUCUCAAGAGAAGUGCGAAAUGGGAUAUGAGAUUUGAGGGGUUUUAAUUUGUUUAAAUAUAUAAGAAGUGCAAAAUGAGAUUUGAGAUCUCUCAAACUCUUUUUAGAUUUGAGAUAUGAAACCCAUUUUUAUGUGAAGGUGCACUCAUAGGGGUGUGACACGCUGAAGGUGUGUUGCACGAAGGUCACAGUGAAGACAUUAAACUCGUUUCCAGAUUUAAAGAACGCGGAUGUACUCAAUCAGACAAGGUACCUCUCUUUUAAUUAAUUUGGUUAGGGUUUUCUUUAAUUAUCUUUCAAUACUCUGUUCAGCAAUGAGGUACCUCUCUUUCUCUUACUCUCUUGGCUCAUUCUCAAUUUCCACUCUAUACUUUUUUACAUUUUGUUCUGUAGAUUUAUUUGGUUUAGCUAUUGAAUUUUCUUCUUAUUUUUUUUCUAAACAAUUAGACAGGAUGAAUCUUGAGAACCAAUUACAUAUUCUACAAGAGAGAACUAAUAAAGAGGGUGUUAAUUCUAUAGUACAAAAAUUGGUUUUAUUAAUGAUGCCCUUGUAGGUGAAUUGUUUGUUUCAAUUUAUGUAAAAUUCUAUUUUACAUACUUGCAGUGUAGUGUAAUAUUUUUCAAUACUAAAAAUUUGGUUUGUUGUGGGUAUGCUUACUUGUGUGGUACUUUGGUCUUCUAUUUUUCAUUAUUCACCAAUUUUCAGUUAUCCAACUACCUUGGAUUCAGUGUUGUCUUGAAAUUAUCACUAUUAUACUCACAUUGCUACUUUCAUAGUUUAAUUUCAAAUUUGUGAUGGCAUGCUUAUGAUAAUAUAGAAUAUGAAUUUCAGGAGAAUAUUCUGUUGUGAUAAAGGAGAGUUGGAAACCUUCAGGAAUGAAGGGUGUGUUUAUAAUAAAAAAGAAUUCUAUUUUUUAUUUAUUUUUUAAAAUAUGGAAAAAGGAUAUUAAACAUGUUCUAGUUAUUGGUUAUUGCAACUAUUAUGCUCACAACACAGUAUUAUUUUUUUAGUAAAGAACCAAUAUAAUAACAAUGGUGUACAUACUUAACAACUUUUUUUCUUGUUCAUUUGUCCUUGGAAGUUCUUUUAUUGAUAAUUAGAUCUUUAUAGUGUGUUUGGAAAUCUCAUUGGCAUGUGAAAGUUGUAACUAUCAACUUCUAAACCCCAUCUGGGAUAUGGAACCAAAUCUCAUUUCGAUAACUAAAUUGCUUUUAACGCUCUCAUGUAUUCUGCAAUUAGUCACAAAAUGCACCAUCAAAACCAUGAACACAUUGAGAAAGAUGAGUGAUGGGUUCCAGUAUUGUGACUAAUUGCUUUUGAAUCGUAACUUAAGUUUGUAUGGCUACAUGAUUUGGUAUUUCUGAAAAAGAAGCAUAACUUAAUUUUUUGUGCUUCUAAUUAAAAUGUAUUCUUACUUAGGGACUUUUCACUACUACAAUCUACAACACAAACCCAUUUUCUUGUUUCUUUCUUGCAUUAGUGUCUAUCUACUAUAUAGAUGCCUUCAUUCUUGUUACAUAUUUGCAUUUGUAGCACUAGUAGAUAUAAAGUAGACGGAUACUUGUAUAAUUUUGUUGAUGAGCCUAAGAUACUGAUAACUGAAAAAUGGAACGAGGCUAUGAAUUAUCAACUUUAUGACUAAGAGGAGAACCACGUACUUCUAGGUAAUGAGCUGAAAGAGAUUUGUUAUUCAACUUUUGUCACUAUUACACCAGUUUUUGUUGAUUAUAAAUAUGCUAUGCUAUGACUUAAUAGCAAGCCACUUUAUUUUAUAUAUUGUCAUUUUAACUCUUCCCAAAAUUCCAGUAAAGACUAGUGACAUAUCCAAAAUUGUUUGUGUAAGCAUAUAUAUCAUACUUAAAAAUAUACUUUUAAUAGUUUUGUACACUUAUUAGUUUUUAUGCAUUGAAUAAAUAUUUUUUUAGAAGGUGUCGAGGUCUGUUUUGAAUUUAUAGGUUGGGUUCAUUGUGAAACAAAAUAAAUAUUAAAAAAUGCACUUAACUUCAUCCGUUGUGCCUGCAACCGAUGUAGAAAGUACCUUUACAACAUCAAUUUUGAGCAAAACCAAUGAUGUAAGAAGGUUCUUUAACAUCGAUUUUUGAACCGUCGUCAAAAGUUGUCCACUUUCAAUAAUGGUCAAUUCAACAUUGGUUCUAAACCAAUGUUAAAAUCCUCCAAAAUCGAUGUUGAAAGCUUUUUUUUAGUAGCGGAGGAAACAAAAAAAAGGAACUGUGAGAAAGGAUGGGAAAGAGAAAAUGUUUCAAUGUGGGAGAAUGUAUGAUAAUACUAUACAAAUUGAUGUAUAUAUAUAACGACUAUAAAGAGUGAUGCAUAAUGAACCACUUGACUAAGUGGUCUAUGCUAGAAUUUGCCAUGAGAUAUAUGUGAUUUCUUUUACCGCGAAGAGAAGUUCUCAAAGAAAAUUAACCUUAUUUAUUUUUCGCAACAUUUUUAUUUAUUAAUUAGCUAUGGGGUAAAAGGUGUCAUCAUUAAAAUCUUAAAAUGAUAUAAGAUGGCACUUGAAAAGAAAUAAAAAUAUUGUUAGGAGUUAAACACAACUCAAUCCAAAAGACUAGCAUAUUAGGUGGAAGAGCCUUAUAGUUUAAGGGUACCACAUCAAGUAUUUAUUAUUCUCAAUGUGGGACUACUAACACUCUCACACCCUUUAAGAGUCGAUAUUCACAACAGGUUUUACUCUAUUAACACUGACCGAUGGUAACCCUUUAUGCUUUGAUGACUUCACUCAAGUAUUAGUAUCAAUUUGGUACCUUAAUCUAAAUUAUAGAUAAUCCUUUUUGUAGUUUAAUUUUUAAUGAAAACAACAAUUAUUAAGACUUAAGUAAAUGAACAAAACCCAAUUCUGAUCCAUUGACUAGUUCAUUAUGUGACAAAGUCUCAUACAUGAUUUAUGUACCACAUCAAAUAAUUUAUUUUUCUCAACAGAAGACUCCAAACAUUAUCACCCAUGUUAAGACCCCUUUGAUCCCUCAAAUACUCCCAAUAGUACAAUACGAGAUAUAAUGGGUCCAUAAUGCGGGAGAUUACUAACUCCCAGGACUCUAAACAUACCCAUGUUUACCUUAAUCAGGUACACAUAAUUAAUUUUCAUACUUAAUUAUCACUUUUAAAAAUUCUAAAUUGAGUGUCAUUCUCUACCGAUACACUACAACCCUCUUUGUUGCACCACCAGACAGUAUAUAUUUGGAUUCACACAUGGGACCUCCAUUAUGAUCAAGAAUUAGCUAGCACCAUUAUUUAUCCCCAUGACACAUUCGAUACGCUCCAACGGUUGAUAAUCCUCUCGUCCGUAUAGAUUAUAAGUAAUAAAAAAAAUCUUGAUAAAAAAUCAGUAACAAAAAACCACCAAUUCUGCUUUCGUUAUAGAAGAAGAAGUCUACUUAAUUAAUUAAGGGAAGGACUUGUUUUUGGAUCAAAGAAAAUAGCCAGAAUGGAAAGCUGUCAUAUGUGGAACGGAACCAGAAUCUUGUGAAGGUAUAAUAUGUAUGUUAAAAUUCAAUUAAAUAGAGACUGCAUGGACUAUUACGUGGAGGCUGCAUGAUAUAUAUUAAUGUGGCCUCUCUUGUCCUGGUUCUCUCUAUUAUAUUACGUCCAUGGUAUUGGUUUUUUUAUUCAAUUCUCUUUAGCUAAGGGUGUAUUACAUGCCGGAAGGGGGUCUUAUAUAUAUUUUAGUUAUUCCACUGGUGCACCUCUUGCCGAUAUUAAGUUAAUUAUUCUUGGAUUCUUUUGCUACUCGGUUUUCAAUAAUUUUUUUUGUUAUAUAAAAAAGUUCUCGUAUAUAUAGAGAGAACCUUAUCUAACCUAGCUCAAUUUUUGCUACGAUGUCAAACUUAAAUUCAAUGUAAAAUUAAUUAAUAUCACGAAACACCAAGAUCACCGAAACUAUUAAGCCUCCGGAAUAUCUGCAUACCUGUGCAUGUGAAAGUUAUAUGGAGUCCAAAAUAGGAGAAGCAAACUAACUACACGAAUAUGCUCCCUUGUCAAAACGACAAAUGAAUAACAACAAAAUUAACCAAUCAAUCUGCUUUAUAUAGCGAAAGACCACACAAACCUAACAGCCUCGAAAUUUUUUCCUCUUUGGAUGCAAUUGGAAUGAUUAAUCUUAUCACAGAUAUUUGAUAUAUAUAGGUUGAGUACCCCAUUACUCUCUCUUAAUAAAUUCCUUUUCCUUAUAUAAAUAAAAAAAGAAGUAUAGUUAACGCCAAACAUAUAUUGUGGAUUAAUGAUGCGCGCACGAUAGUUAUGUAUCAUGAUGCUUAUGAAGUUGGUGGGUUAACAAUUGUUCCUACAUAUGACACCAAAUGUUCAGUACCAACCCAAAAGAUGGAAUUUUUUAUGUAACUCAAGUUGAUCUCACCUUGAACCUCUCAAACCUUCCACUCUGAACAGGGUGUGGAUAUUAGAUAUGAUCAUAUGAAAUGCAUGAAUGUUUACCUCUCUUCUUCCUUUCUAUCCUUUUAUAUAUACUCAAUGUUUCACUCCGUUAUUUAGUUGUGUAAUCCAUAUGUGUGCAUGCUAGGUAUACCUUCUGUAUCUCGAGAUUUGCAGGUUCUGUUACGAUUUUUCUCAAUCCUUCUUUGGGUAUUUUGCACCUUCUUAUUCUUAUUUAGACAUGUAAUUUAAUUAGACACGUAAUUCUCAAUCCUUCUUAUUCUUAUUUUAAAAAAAAGUUAAUUGAGAUGUGUUUAAAAUUUGUAAUAAUACUUAAAAAACGCUUUAAUAUUAGAGAUGUAACUCAUGUAAGUAUGUUUUAAAAGUUUAAUUCCUUAAAAUAAAAGUUUACUAAAUUAUGAUCAAACCAUCGAUCUAAAAUAAAAAAUUCAAUUGUUUAAAUUUUAUGAUGUAUGUAUAACAUUUUAGUUUAAUUUUCACAUAUUGUAAUGUUAAUGUAAAAAUUUAUAUUAUCAAUUAAUAAAAACCAUGUUAAAUAUCACUUUUAAAUUAAUUAUUAAAAAGUGAAUAGUCUUAUAAUACAUAAUAAUGACACAUUUUUUUGUAUAGUAAUUAUCUUUUUGGUACGGGUGAUACGGCACAUUUAGUUUAGUUUCUAAUUAAAUUCAUACUAUUUGUUUUCUCUGAGAAAGUAUUUGACACGACACAGCCGUUUGCAUUUCUCUUUAGUUGAACUUAAAUACCACAGUCAAUGUUGAAAGUUCUCGACAUGAUAGUUUGAUGUUACGUAUUAACCCUGGCCGACACUAUGGUUAGGCAAAAGGAGGGGAAAUUAAUUAAUAUAUUAAAUUGGACUACAUACUACUUUUUAAAAAAGAAAAAAAAAAUUGCCCUCCCCACAUGGAGAAACUCUUCAUUUUCACAAACUAAAUAGAUAAUUAUCUAACAACUCCUAGUGUCAGAAAGUUUAUGACUAUGCAAGUAUAAAGAAGGUUCAUUCAGCGUUAUGCUUGUAUAUGUAAAGAGGUUAUUUUUCCAUUUAAACUAUGAUCAACCAAACCAAAUUGCAACUUUACAAUUAUCUUUGUGGCAGGGCUCACUCUCAUCACGAACUAAAUAGAUAAAAUAUAUUAAAAAAGUCAUACAUACUUUUUUAUGAAAUAAAUAAAAUAUUAUCUACCUCUUUUACGUCAAAGUAUUAUUUACAUUAUAUAUAUAUAUAUAUAUAUAUUUCCUUUUUACCGAUUAACAUCCAAAUCUUUCUUCCUUUGAGGUUUAAAUCUAACAUUUCAUGCAAACUAUCCAAAAUUUUCACUAUUAGACUGAUUUUAGUGCCAUGUCAGAAUUAAUUUCUAGUCAAAUUAAAUUAAUGAGGGAAUGGGUUUAAAUUUUAAACACCAAAUGGUAACGAAGGAUAUAUAUACACUAGAAAGCCACUAAUUCUAAAGCAUCUUUACAUCACCUUUACGAAUUAGGAUUACCUUCAUCACGGGCUGAAUAUAACCCGAUUUCCACUUGUCACUACAUGUCAAAAAUGUCCUCUUACACAGCAUUGCUUUUUUCUUAUUCCCCUUGUCCAUGAAAAAUUGAAAUCGUAGUUUUGGCCCUCUUUUUUCACAAUUUUUUUUGUCACUGUGAUCGACUUUGUCCGUGAAUCCAAGCUGAACGAGAGAAGCUCAUUCACUCUGCCACACCGUGGGCCCCACCUAUAUAUCCUGAACGAUUUUUCGGUCCUUGAAGUCAAUGAUUCAUCGCAAAAAAUGAAUAAUUUAAUUCCAAUUGUUAGGAGUUAGAUUUAGAUUUAGAUUGAUUGAUUGAUUGCCACAACUCUUGUCCGUGAUCAUUAAGACUCACGAGAAAGAAAGAGAAAAAAACUAGGGUUGGAUCAUGAUAUAAAGGCCCCUCAUUGUAUCUUCACUACUCAAACAUAUAUUCCCCCUUUCCCUAGUUUAGCUACUUACCUCAAUCUUUCUCAUGGGAAAGUUUGCCCUAGCCAAUAUCCUCUUGGUCCUUCUCUUGAACUUGAGCACUUUGCUCAAUGUUCUUGCUUGUCCCUAUUGCCCUUACCCUUCUCCCAAGCCUCCAAAAAAGCCUCCCGUUGUGAAACCACCGGUUCACAAACCACCAAAACCAUGUCCACCACCCAAGUCAUCUCCAAAACCACCCCAUGUACACCCUCCCUAUGUUCCAAAACCUCCUCACUACCCUAAACCACCAGUUCAUCCACAUCCACCCCAUGUCCCAAAACCUCAUCCAAAGCCUCCAGUGCAUCCCCAUCCACCUUAUGUCCCAAAACCACCAGUUGUGCCAGUUACACCACCAUAUGUUCCAAAACCACCAAUUGUGAACCCUCCCUAUGUCCCAAAACCGCCUGUUGUGCCAGUUACACCACCUUAUAUCCCUAAACCACCAGUUGUGACACCACCAUAUGUCCCUAAACCACCAGUGGUGCCAGUUACACCACCAUAUGUCCCUAAACCACCAGUGGUGCCAGUUACACCACCUUAUGUGCCAAAACCACCCAUUGUGAAACCACCAAUUGUUUAUCCACCAGUUGUGCCAAAACCACCAAUUGUUACACCACCUUAUGUGCCAAAACCACCCAUUGUGAAACCACCAAUUGUUUAUCCACCAGUUGUGCCAAAACCACCAAUUGUUACACCACCUUAUGUGCCAAAACCACCCAUUGUGAAACCACCAAUUGUUUAUCCACCAGUUGUGCCAACACCACCUAUUGUGUAUCCACCUGUUGUACCAACUCCACCGGUGGUUACUCCACCCGUGGUUACACCACCAAGUCCUCCAAGUGAAACACCAUGUCCACCACCACCACCACCAGUGGUGCCAUACCCACCACCAGCACAACCAACAUGCCCCAUCGACACCCUAAAACUGGGGGCAUGUGUGGAUGUGCUUGGUGGCCUCAUACACAUUGGCAUAGGCAGCAGUGCCCAGCAGACCU